rnacentral:rRNA from 1 species
GAUGAACGCUGGCGGCGUGCCUAAUACAUGCAAGUCGAGCGAACAGACGAGGAGCUUGCUCCUCUGACGUUAGCGGCGGACGGGUGAGUAACACGUGGAUAACCUACCUAUAAGACUGGGAUAACUUCGGGAAACCGGAGCUAAUACCGGAUAAUAUAUUGAACCGCAUGGUUCAAUAGUGAAAGACGGUUUUGCUGUCACUUAUAGAUGGAUCCGCGCCGCAUUAGCUAGUUGGUAAGGUAACGGCUUACCAAGGCGACGAUGCGUAGCCGACCGGAGAGGGUGAUCGGCCACACUGGAACUGAGACACGGUCCAGACUCCUACGGGAGGCAGCAGUAGGGAAUCUUCCGCAAAGGGCGAAAGCCUGACGGAGCAACGCCGCGUGAGUGAUGAAGGUCUUCGGAUCGUAAAACUCUGUUAUUAGGGAAGAACAAAUGUGUAAGUAACUAUGCACGUCUUGACGGUACCUAAUCAGAAAGCCACGGCUAACUACGUG